rnacentral:rRNA from 1 species
UUAGGAAUUUUGCGCAAUGGGGGAAACCCUGACGCAGCAAUACCGCGUGAGCGAUGAAGGCCUUCGGGUUGUAAAGCUCUUUUAGUUGGGAAGAAAAAAAUGACGGUACCAACAGAAAAAGGACCGGCUAACUCCGUGCCAGCAGCCGCGGUAAUACGGAGGGUCCAAGCGUUAUUCGGAAUUACUGGGCGUAAAGAGAGCGUAGGCGGUUUUGUAAGUCUGAUGGGAAAGCCCUCGACCCAAUGCGGG